rnacentral:lncRNA from 1 species
AGAAACAGAAGGGGAGAGUGAGGAAGAGGGAAAGGGAGUGAGAGAGAAAGGGGGAGAGAUAAAGAGAUAGAGGGAAAGGGAGGAAGAGGAAAAGAGAGAGAGGGAGGAAGGGGUGGAGAGAGAAUGAGACUAGAACCUGGUGGCUGGAGUUUGCAGCUGGGCGGUACAGAAUGUUAUGGAAACACAGACAGAGCCAGGUCUGACUGCAAAGCUGCAGCUCCUCCCACGAUGGAUCCUGACUUGGCCCCCCACUCCCCACUCCUCGAAUUAUACCCUCAGGACCUUACCUGGGGCUGGGUGGGCUGCACAGGAGUUUCCAAGCCUGGCUGCUCACCAGAAGUGUCUGGGAGACCCUCAAAGAAACUCUAGAGUCCUGGGCCUGACUCUGGCAAUUUGGCUUCAGGAUGAUGGUCUGGGGCCUAGGAAUCUGUAUUUUAGCAGCCACUGCCUCCCAGAGCUCAGCGGGCACGGGAGCCCAGGUGGUGGACACGUGUCCCCGGGGGGCCUCCCCCGGGGCUCCCGCUGCUGUCACUGCCACACACGUCCUUUUGCAAACACACACGGCCCAUGAUUGAUUCUCUGCCGCUCCCCUCACAGCCCCGUGGGUCUGAUUGAAUGGCCGGCGUGCUGCCCAAACACCCUGCUGGAACCACUUCCCUGCCCUCUGCCCUAGAAGUCGUUUGUUUUUAGACACAGCGUUUAUGUCCAGCUGAAAGGACACCAGCCUCCCUGGAGCCACCCCUCUAAGCUGGAGCCAGGCUGGGGACCGUCCCUGGGUGCUGAAGGGACAGAGGGACCUGGGUGCCUAGGCUGGGUGUGGUGGCCCAGGUGCAGCCUCUCACACUCAAGAAUGGACACUGAAUCCUAGGAGGACUCUCAGGCUUCCUGCAUCUAGGUGACACUAGAAUUGUUUGGGUGUUUGAAGAUAUUUUCACCCACCUUGACAUUGAGAACAGCUUCAGGGAAGGAAUCUUUCCUUCCUCCCUUCUCUUCCUUUAUUUAUUUAUUUUUUUGGGAGUGGGGGUCUCGCUCUCUCACCUAGCUGGAGUGACAGAGCGAGACUGGAGUGUGCAGUGGUGCGAUCCUAGCUCAUGAGCCUCCAGCUGCUGGGCUCAAGCGAUCCUCCUGCCUCAGCCUCCCGAAUAGCUGAGACUAUAGGCGUGUGCCACCAUGCCUGUCUAAUUAAAAAAAAUUUUUUUGUAGAGAUGAGGUUUCGCCAUGUGGCCCAGACUGGUCUCAAACUCCUGGGCUCAAGCGAUUCUCCCACCUUGGCCUCUGAAAGCACGGAGAUUAUAGGCGCAAGCCACUGUGUCCGGCCAGAAACUGUUUCCUUUGACAUUAAUUUUGCACCUCCCAUGAACUAGAGCCUAGCAGUCUUGGGUCUGGGCCUAUAUGAACAAAUCCAUAGGACAACCUCUGCUUGUCAGAAGACCCGGCUCUGGAAUUUAACGGACCUAGGCUUGAGUCUCAGGCGCAUGCCUCAGCGUCCUUAUGUUUUAAAUGGAAUGAUAAAGCUGGCUUUGGAGGGUGGUUGAGAGGGUUCCCAACACCCUGGAUGAGAGAGAAAUGCUUAGCACAGGUCUGGCACACAGUAGGUGCUCAGCCCCACUUCCUUUCUUUCUCCUUCUCCUCAUCUCUCCUGGUCACUGUCACCUGGCCUUCUACUACCCCCUGGACAUGUUCUAUAGAGAGGGGAGCACUGGGCCAGGAGCACUAGAACCCUGGGUCCCAAUUCUCACUUUUCUGGACCUUGCUGUGCAAUGUUGGGCAAAUAUCUGGCCUUCUCUGGUCUGGCCAGAUCAUCUCAAGAACACUUUCUCGUGCUGUGGAUCCAGGUUGUGACCUCUUGGGAGAACUGGACUCAGUUUCCCCUUUCUGUGUGCUUUCUAUCCUGCCUGGUUCACAGUAGGUGCUCCAGGGACAAACAUGGAAAUGAGAUGAGUGGGUCAUUAGCGAUAUCUGGACACCAAACUGUGCAGAUCUGGUUUGGAGGCCCUGGCUGUCAGAAUGGUGCUCAUUCUUCUGGGAGAGCUGGGCCAGGGUGGGGUGGGGGAGGGGAGAGGCUACUGCAUUUCUUAUUUUUUUGAACCUCUAAGGCCUUAUCCUGUUCUUGCAGCCCCAGCCUCCACUCCUAGAUGACGUGGGAUUAGGGGGCCAGCUCUGGCUUCAGAGACCCCUAUUUCUUUUUUUUUUUGAGUCGGAGUCUCGCUCUGUUGCCCAGGCUGGGGUGCAGUGGUGCGAUCUCGGCUCACUGCAAGCUCUGCCUCCCGAGUUCACGCCAUCCUCCUGCCUCAGCCUCCCGAGUAGCUGGGACUACAGGUGCCCGCCACCACGCCCAGCUAAUUUUUUGUAUUUUUAGUAGAGACUGUUAGCCAGGAUGGUCUGGAUCUCCUGACCUCGUGAUCCGCCCACCUCGGCCUCCCAAAGUGCUGGGAUUACAGGCAUGAGCCACCAUGCCCGGCCCCUUCUUCUCUCGCCUAACCCACCCCCACUCCCCUCCCCCUCCCCUCCCCCCUCCCCUCCCCUUCCUUCCCUCCCUCCCUUCCUUCCCUCUUUCUCUCCCUCCCUCCCUUCCUCUCUCCCUUCCUCCUGUCUUUCUUCCUUCCUCCCUUCCUUCCCUCCCUCCUUCCUUCCUUCCUCCCUCCCUGCUCCCUCCCUUUCUUUCUUCUUCCCUCCCUUCCUUCCUCCCUCCCUUCCUUCCUCCCUUCCUUCCUCCUUCCCUCCCUGGUCUAGCAAGCAUCAGCUUCUGGGCCCUGUACACACCAGUGUGAACUUUCUCUUCAAUGUUCUGGGUCCUGGCUUGUGCACUGAUGGGUCAGAGGAAUGGCUUAAGGUU